UGCUUCAGAACAAGAACAAAACCCUAAUUAUUCAUAUAUGCAGAAAGGCUAAGAAGGUGUGUUAGACUGGCAACACUGGAUAUGAAAUCAAAAAAGGACUGCUUAGUGCGCCUCUUUAGUCAACAUGAAAAAGAAGAAAAGAACAAGUAACUGAAGGAUCCUCUGAUGGCCUCAAGGCAGUGGAUUGAGAAUAUCUCUUAAGUACAAGGAGGUAUUCUAGUCCAUUUGUGCUGCUAUAACAAAAUACCUGAGAUUGGGUAAUUUGGCUCAUGAUUCUGGAGACUGGAAGUCCAAGAUUGAGGGACUGGCUUCUGGCAAGGACCUUCUUGCUGUGUCAUGUCAUGGCAGAUGGCAGAAAGGUACAGUGGCUCACGCCUGUAAUCCCAGCACUUUGGGUGAAUCACCUGAGGUCAGGAGUUCGAGACCAGGCUGACCAACGUAGUGAAACCCCAUCUCUACUAAAAGUACAAAAUUUAGCUGGGCAUGGUGGUGGGCGCCUGUAGACCGAGCUACUCAGGAGGCUGAGGUGGGAGAAUCGCUUGAACUGGGAGGCAGAGGUUGCAGUGAGCCGGGAUCACACCACCGCUCUCCAGCCUGGGCGACAGAGCGAGACUCCAUCUCAAAAAAAAAAAAAAAAAAAAAAAAAAAAAAUCUUAGCAGGAAGUAAAUAAAAGGUCAAAGCAGACUAUUGCAGUCAGUGGGCACUCAACUAAGGGAAGCUUAUAAAAUGAAAACACACAAAAAAAUCCAAAAAGGCUUCGCCUCCUUCCUUUCAUAAUAAAAUGCUGACACACCUUAAUUAUAGUGUUGUAAACAGUGCUAUUGGACCACCGCUUCACCAUAUGGGACUGAGAACUAUAAAUAUGUUAGAUAUUGGUUCUUAGGAAAGGAAAAUAUAGAAUAUAUCCUUUGUACGAGUCAUAUUUUUAUGAGGCUGCUGAAGAGUAGCUGAGUGUUGAAUCAAAUCACGAAUUCUCAAGGCCAUCAUAAUCAGAGUAGGCAAAGUAUAUAUUUGCUCAGGGAAACAUCUGUUAAGAAAUUUCUCCUGAGUCUCAUCAGUAGUUGGCAAACUUUACUGCUUUAGCUAUGUUUUCAUUAUUGGCCUGUCUGCAGAAUAGUUUCCACUGGUUGUCCUUCUAUCAUUAAUUCACCAAUAAAGAAAUAACCUUUUUAAUGGCCCGCCUUUGUUGAUAAUGCUCACAACAAAAUUUAAAUUUUAUUUUAUUUUAUUUUAUUUUUUUUUUUGAGACGGAGUCUUGCUCUGUGCCCCAGGCUGGAGUGCAGUGGCGCGAUCUCGGCUCACUGCAAGCUCCGCCCCCCCGGGUUCACGCCAUUCUCCUGCCUCAGCCUCCCAAGUAGCUGGGACUACAGGCGCCCACCACCUCGCCCGGCUAAUUUUCUUGUAUUUUUAGUAGAGACGGGGUUUCACCGUGUUAGCCAGGAUGGUCUCGAUCUCCUGACCUCGUGAUCCGCCCGUCUCGGCCUCCCAAAGUGCUGGGAUUACAGGCUUGAGCCACCGCGCCCGGCCACAAAAUUUAAAUUUUAAAUAGUCACUCAGUGAUUUGUAUUUUAUUCCAUUGUGCUCUUGAAUUUUACGUACAUACACAGAGCUCUGAAAAAGGAUAAAAACAGUAAGUUGUGAACUGAGUGUGAAUCAACCAUGGUGGUUACAGUUCAGUUGCUUUUGGAGUACUGCAAAAGUUGUGUCUUUAGCUAAUAAUGCUUGGUUCAUAGGCGUCACACCGUUACUUCUAAUACUUCUCAGUGACAUUAUUGAAAUCAGCUACAUAAAAUAUACAUGGACUUUUUUUUUUUAGUUCAAGUAGAGGUACCUUCCAACAAAAUAUGCUUUCAUCAAACUAUCAAAUUCAUAAUAGGAAACAAAGCAUUUUCUGGAAAAAGAAAAAGAAAAGACAACCAGAAAAUCAUCUUUUUUGAUACAGUUAUCUCAUAGGCGUAUGUUACCAGUGGCAUGAAUAAAAUACUACAUAAACUUUUUGGACAUAAUUAACAUUAAAACAUACUGGCCAGCAUCAUAUUAUUUUCUCUCUAGAUUUCCAUUUAGUGCUUUCCAUGUGUCAGAGAGUCAAUGUAAAGCUAUCUUGAUAAACCCAUUAACGGAUUGUUGCAUAAUGUUUUAUAGCUGCUUUGCAAGUGAAUUAUUUUUGCUGUGGUACUGCUAAUACAGCAAUCUCUAUGCCCUCUAUGAUUAUUAAUAUGGAAUAAUAAAAAAUUGUAACUUUGUCCAACAUUUUCUCUGGUCAAAAUAUUAAUAUAACUUGGCUAAAAAGAAGCAUGGAGAAAAACACAAGCACUAUUUUGUGGUGUGUGAGAUCGACCUGCAGUUGUUAGCGCUGUUAUUAAGUUUCAGUAAUUGUUUAGGUCAUCAAUCUCUGACAAGAACCUUUCAGAGUGCUUGAUGAUAUCGCAAGUAUCAAGCUGUGCUGCAUUAAAAAAUGAUGAAUCUCUGUUCAGGUAAAGCUUUGCCCUUUGGCUAUCAUAAUGUAUCACCACUUUGUUUACAAAUGGGUAUUCACUACGCUAAAUGGCAACAGGGUGCAUGCGAUUUUAUAAAUAUGAAAUGUUGGCACUAGCUAAUAUCUGAACUCCUAGUUGAAAGUGCAGCUGGAAGUCUAGGGAAAAUACUCAUAGUUACUUACAAGAUAAAUAAUUUUGUAAAUUAAAAUCAUUGUGUUUCAACUAUUUAAAUGAUUACAAGUUAUUUUUUUAAAAUAACAUGUUUUAAUAGAAUAACUCAAAUUGAACCCUCGGUUUUCUCUAAAACAAGUGUUACAAUUUUUACCUAAACAUAAAUUUAGAAGCAUUAUACAUAAAUUUGAUAAUUUAUCAAUUUCAAAGGAAUCUCUAAUCGUUGCUAUUACAUUCAUUAAGCCAUCAGCCACAUUUUGUCCAGGUUAUUAUUGUUUUAGACAAGUCUUAUUUUUGGUAGGAAAAUUAUUUUCUGAACGCAACAAAAUGGAAAUGACUUCAUCUCUUAUUUUACUGAUUGGUUUAAAUGCAGCUAAGUGUUACUCCUAUGUAUCCUUGCUUAUUAAUCAAAGGUGGCAUUUUACAGACAUGUAGGAGGAAAACCAUGCAGUGUUUACUGUAACAACUCCUUUUUUUGGUUUGUUUUUUUGAGACAGUGUUCACUCUGUCACCCUGCUGGAAUGCAGUGCUGUGAUCACCACUCACUGCAGCCUUGAUGUCCCAGGCUCAAGUGAUCCUUCCACUUCAGCCUCCCAAGUAGCUGGGACUACAGGUGCACACCACCAUGCCAGGCUAAUGUUUUGUAUUUUUUGUAGAGACGGGGUUUCACUAUGUUUCCUGGGCUGGUCUCAAAUUCCUGGGCUCAAAGUGAGCCACCUGCCUCAGCCUCCCAAAGUGCUGGUAUUACAGGUAUGAGCCACUGUGCCUAGCCUAAAGUUAUAAAAUAUUACAGAAAGAAUUGUAGUACCUUGGCUACUCUUCCCUGGUUACCUCCCUUCCCUCCAUUCAUAUCCUGAUAUAUUUAUAUCAUUAGAGUGUUUAUUAAUUUCACAUGUGCAUUUAUACUGUUACUGUAUAAUUGAUCCAAAAAUAUAAUGUAACAUUUUUGUCUAUUUUCAGUGUUUAUAAAAAUAAGAUGAGAGUAUGCAUAUUAUUUAAUUUACGUUUAUUUGUUCAGUAUUCUAUGUUUGAGUUUUCACCAUGUUAAUGCGUAGAUCUCUGAUUCAUU
rnacentral:lncRNA from 1 species